GGGCGUAGGUGGACGGUUUACGGCGGAUAUCGCUGAGGAAAGUCCCCUCUCGAUCUGAACCGGGAAACUGUGCAAGCAGUAAGGGUGAGAAUCCUUGCAGAGACACAGAAACGACACAGUCCAUAAAAAAUGCGAUGAUGCAGGUUUAAGCUGCUGAGAUCUUUAUGGGAUAUGAUGAAACGGUCAAUCUGCUCCUGGAGCAAGUCCAAAUAGUAGGAUCAGUUGUUCAGACUGCCUGCAGGUAGGACGCAUAGUAGAAUACCGUUUAAAACAGAAAGGGGCUUACGGCCUAUCACCC
rnacentral:RNase_P_RNA from 1 species